AAUGGACCAACAAGGUUGUUCUAAUUUCAUUAAAAUGCAAGGCUGAAACAUUGGUUUUGGGAGAGCAAGAAAAGAGAAUUUGAAAAAAAAAAAAAAAAAGUAAAUAUGAUAUGAAGAAAGCUUGCUGCUAUAUUUGGAUGUUGGAAGCUGCAUGAUGUUGUGGAUGUUGGAUGCUUUUGUUUUUGUUUUGAAAUUUUGGAUUGUGGUUUGCUAUUUUAGUUUAAGGUAAAAAACUGGAACAUAGAAGGCUUUUUUUUUUUUUUUUUUUUUUUUUUU